GACGAACGCUGGCGGCGUGCCUAAUACAUGCAAGUAGAACGCUGAAGGGAGAGCUUGCUCUUCUGGAUGAGUUGCGAACGGGUGAGUAACGCGUAGGUAACCUGCCUGGUAGCGGGGGAUAACUAUUGGAAACGAUAGCUAAUACCGCAUAACAUUGACUAUUGCAUGAUAGUCAAUUGAAAGGUGCAAAUGCACCACUACCAGAUGGACCUGCGUUGUAUUAGCUAGUUGGUGGGGUAACGGCUCACCAAGGCGACGAUACAUAGCCGACCUGAGAGGGUGAUCGGCCACACUGGGACUGAGACACGGCCCAGACUCCUACGGGAGGCAGCAGUAGGGAAUCUUCGGCAAUGGACGGAAGUCUGACCGAGCAACGCCGCGUGAGUGAAGAAGGUUUUCGGAUCGUAAAGCUCUGUUGUAAGAGAAGAACGAGUGUGAGAGUGGAAAGUUCACACUGUGACAGUAUCUUACCAGAAAGGGACGGCUAACUACGUGCCAGCAGCCGCGGUAAUACGUAGGUCCCGAGCGUUGUCCGGAUUUAUUGGGCGUAAAGCGAGCGCAGGCGGUUAGAUAAGUCUGAAGUUAAAGGCUGUGGCUUAACCAUAGUACGCUUUGGAAACUGUUUAACUUGAGUGCAGAAGGGGAGAGUGGAAUUCCAUGUGUAGCGGUGAAAUGCGUAGAUAUAUGGAGGAACACCGGUGGCGAAAGCGGCUCUCUGGUCUGUAACUGACGCUGAGGCUCGAAAGCGUGGGGAGCAAACAGG
rnacentral:rRNA from 1 species